GUAGCAGGACGGUCGUGUCGCUUGCCGAGUGUGCCCUCGGGCACUGAGCGGCAAGAGGAAAGUCCGGGCAACACAGAGCACCAUACUCUUUAACUGGGAGCUGUCGGUGACGGCAGAGUAACGUGACAGAGAAUGACUGCCCCCUCCGCCCCUGUGGUGGAGGAGGUGAUGGUGAAAAGGUGGGGUAAGAGCCCACCGGGUGUCGUGGCGACACGGCAUGCCGCACGUCUUAUGGGUUGCAAGGCCAUGUAUACCGGCACGCGGACAGCACUCCACCCGCUGGAG
rnacentral:RNase_P_RNA from 1 species